UUGCACGCUUGCGGCAGGCCUAACACCUGCAAGUCGAACGGUAACAGAAAGCAGCUUGCUGCUUUGCUGACGAGUGGCGGACGGGUGAGUAAUGUCUGGUAAACUGCCUGAUGGAGGGGGAUAACUACUGGAAACGGUAGCUAAUACCGCAUAACGUCGCAAGACCAAAGAGGGGGACCUUCGGGCCUCUUGCCAUCCCAUGUGCCCAGAUGGGAUUAGCUCGUAGGUGGGGUAACGGCUCACCUAGGCGGCGAUCCCUAGCUGGUCUGAGAGGAUGACCAGCCGCACUGGAACAGAGAGACGGUCCAGACUCCUACGGGAGGCAGCAGUGGGGAAGUUUGCACAAUGGGGGAAAGCCUGAUGGAGCCAUGCCGCGUGGAUGAAGAAGGCCUUCGGGUUGUAAAGUACUUUCCGCGGGGAGGAAGGGAGUAAAGUUAAUACCUUUGCUCAUUGACGUUACCCGCAGAAGAAGCACCGGCUAACUCCGUG
rnacentral:rRNA from 1 species